GCCAGGCGUGGUGGCACAUGCCUGUAAUCCCAGCUACUCGGGAGGCUGAGACAGGGGAAUCACUUGAACCUGGGAAGCCGGGUUGCAGUGAGCUGAGAUCAUGCCACUGCACUCCAGCCUGGGCUACAGAGUGAGACUCUGUCUCAA
ensembl:misc_RNA Metazoa_SRP Metazoan signal recognition particle RNA